rnacentral:rRNA from 1 species
UACGAAGGGGGCUAGCGUUGCUCGGAAUUACUGGGCGUAAAGGGCGCGUAGGCGGAUAGUUUAGUCAGAGGUGAAAGCCCAGGGCUCAACCUUGGAACUGCCUUUGAUACUGGCUAUCUUGAGUACGGGAGCGGUGAGUGGAACUCCGAGUGUAGAGGUGAAAUUCGUAGAUAUUCGGAAGAACACCAGUGGCGAAGGCGACUCACUGGCCCGUUACUGACGCUGAGGCGCGAAAGCGUGGGGAGCAAACAGGG